UUUAUUUGGGCAUUGUGUAC
rnacentral:siRNA from 1 species